AAGAGAAAGGCCAUCGGUGAAGAAGUGGCUCGACUGUUGGCGGCAGGAUUUAUCCGAGAGAUAUUCCACUCCGAGUGGCUCGCUAACGUCGUCAUGGUUCCUAAGAAGGACAAGUCGCUCCGAAUGUGCAUUGAUUUCAAGCACAUAAACCGGGCCUGCCCGAAAGAUCACUUUCCUCUCCCUCGCAUAGAUCAAAUUGUUGACUCGACCGCGGGAUGCGAGAGGCUGUCUUUUUUAGAUGCUUACUCCGGGUACCACCAGAUCCGUCUGUAUGGACCCGAUGAAGUAAAAACAGCUUUCAUCACUCCAUUCGGGUGCUUCUGC
rnacentral:rRNA from 1 species